GAAAACGACUGUUUUUAUCAUCAACGAAAUCGGAUGGCAACCAAGGUGUCGACGAAACCAACUGUUUUUAUCACCGACAUAAUCGGGUAUUGUGAAAAUCAACCUUCACGAAUGCCAACUAAAUCUGGUGUCGACCAAAUCAUUGGUAUGGAUAAUAUAUUUAGUCGGGUGGCUCUUUGACAUUAUUUAGAUCGACGUAUCAAACGAUGGAUCAAGUAAUGUUUAUAUAGACGAUUUAAUCGGGAUAUUGGUUGAUAGAUAACAAUUGCUUAGUGUUUAGUUUACUUAUGAAGCAGUUGUUUUUAUUGCACCAAGUAUAAUUUUAAAAAUAGGUAAAGUGUGAAUAUCUUUCACGUAAGUUGCAAAACUUAGUGCAGUACGAUGGCAAGUAUGAGUGUUUAUAUGUUUAUGUGCGCGCAAAAAGUAUCGUCCAUUUUUUCGGCACUUAUUUAACUCACAAGUUACUACGGGAAAUCUUGUUUCCUAAAAUUAGCCGGAGCGGACAAUGGACUUAGGGGACAUGGCCAAAAAACAUCCUGUUAUAUUAUUUUAGUGUGAAAUUUGGUUGCAUUCGAUUAGGAAUCUUAUCCCAUUGUUUCCUACGGUAAAUUGGCCGCAUCAGACUAUGGGCUCUGAAGCUAUGGCUUGUCGUGUCCGGAGGGGACGGCUGCAUCCGAAUCCAGCUGCUGCUCGAUCCGAUUUUAGACAAGAAUCAAUCUAUAAAAUGACUAUCAUCUCUGGAUCCGACAAAUCGUACUCUUCAACACAAGGGCCGGGACCAACGGCGCGGAACAGAAUCCAGGCAUACUGGGAAGUGAAACAGUCCCUGCAUCUCCAGUAAAACUCAACUACCGGCACUGUCCUUUAAAAUCAAUCUAUUGUACUCGCUAUUAAAUAAAAAUAAAUCACCCUA